rnacentral:rRNA from 1 species
GGGAAUAGCCCUCCUAACGGAGGGGUAAUACCCGGCGAUCCGCCGAGGGGGCAUCCCCUUGGCGGGAAACGAGUUUCGCCUCGGGAGGGGGCCACGUGCUAUUAGCUGGUUGGCGGGGUAACGGCCCACCAAGGCACAGAUGGCUAGCGGGUGUGCGAGCACGACCCGCGCCACGGGCACUGAGACACUGGCCCGACUCCUACGGGAGGCUGCAGUCGAGGAUCUUCGGCAAUGGGCGCAAGCCUGACCGAGCGACGCCGCGUGUGCGAUGAAGGCCUUCGGGUUGUAAAGCACUGUCAGGGGGGAACAAUCAAUGAGUGAUCCCCAGAGGAAGCACGGGCUAAGUUCGUGCCAGCAGCCGCGGUAAGACGAACCGUGCGAACGUUGUUCGGAAUCACUGGGCUUAAAGGGCGCGUAGGCGGUCUACCAAGUCGGGGUUGAAAUCUUUCGGCUCAACCGGAAAAGUGGCUUCGAUACUGGUAGGCUGGAGGGAGGUAGGGGCGGAUGGAACUUCCGGUGGAGCGGUGAAAUGUGUUGAUAUCGGAAGGAACGCCGGUGGCGAAAGCGAUCCGCUGGACCUCUUCUGACGCUGAGGCGCG